GCUGCAGCCAUGCAGGAAGAGAAGGCAAAACAACUUUCAAUAAUCGAAGUACUGUGCAGAAUUUCUGUUCAUGAUAUCUCACUGAUGCCCCUUAGCAUUCUCUUACGUCUGGCUUAUUUUGAUAUCUUUUGUCAUGUUCCUGGUGGUUUCCACUUUCCAGGACUCACUUUAUCUUGCCAGGCUAUUGCCUGUUUUCCACAAGAGAUUGUUCUCCUCCGAGGCUUGAGAGCUUGUUCCCUUCUUGUUCACCUUUCCAUCCCGAAAAUAAAAGAGCCUUCACGGAAAAACUGUUGGAACGAGAUCUCUCAUACAAAAAGACCUGAACUAACUACUCGCUCAAUGCGCAUUGAAAUUCUAAUGAAUGCCCUUAUUUAGCAUCUUUGAGUUGAGCUUAGCCCUCUUCCUAUCCUAAACCCCUAGAAUCAUAAGGAACGAUUGAUGGUUGAUGCAUUGGAAUUCUAAUGAAUGUCUUUGAUUUCAACUAUAACUAUAUGUCUGUCUUUUCUUUCGGACACCCCAUUCUGCAGCGGAGUAUGAACUCAAGUAGCGGGACAUGACAGCGGUCAGGGAGAAGGAAAAGCUAUCGGACAUCAAUCC
rnacentral:lncRNA from 1 species